GAUGGGUUACGGUUUAAAGGGUUAAAGGUGAACAGACUGCAUUUCCAGCUUGGGUCACAUGCUUCACAGUUUCACUUCCACUAGGCAAGUAGUUGUUGAGGGUUUGCAGACAAGUUGGAGUCAUCCAUACAACCAAACAUUUUACUUGGUGAAAGGAGGUUGCCGCAGCAACUGCAUGAAGUCAUCAAGAAGUAAAGCAGAUGACAUGGAUCCACAGCUCCCUUCUUCUUCUUCUUUUAAUCCAGGUGAAGUAAAAUGAUGAAUGAGAAAGCAAAGACGUGACCGAUCAAGAAAAGAAAAAAGAAAAGUGCAACAAAAUCAGAACAACUACAAUAAUGAGUGUGUAAAAUGAAGUGGUUCUCAUUUGAACUGUGGUUAUUAAACUUUGGG